CUGCUAGCCCAAACACACCAACAAACCCAGUUGGCCCUAACUAAACACCUCGGGUGCCCGGCGGCCGGAGCGCCUUCACUGCUCGGUCGCCAUGGCGUCCCUCGUCCCCCGGCUCCUUGGCCGCCGGACUCUGCAACCCGCCGUUGCUCUACGCUCUCCACGCGAUCCUUGGAUGCGUUUCCACGGCGCAAAUCCCCCACGCCCCUGCCCGCUGUUCCGGCCUUCCCCGGGGGUUGAUGGAUGCGCGAGAGCUGCGCGGAGAUGGUGGUUUCUCUCGCCGGUAAGGCACGGGAGCACGGCGGUGACGCUGAACACGGACGGCGGCUUUGCGCGGUUCUCCGUCGGAGAUCCGGGCCCGAAUCAGAAUGGGGGGCAGAAUCAGCCGCCGGCGAAGAAGAAGAUGUCCAAGAAGUCCAAGGUCAACCAGCUCAAGUGGUAUCGCCUCAAGGCCAAAAAGAAGAUGAAGUCGCCCAACCCCGAAGUCAGGAUAAGAUACAAGCUCGGAAAGGCCAAGAGGAAAGAAGAAUGGCUGAUUGAGAAACUCAGGAAGUACGAGGCCCCGAGGGCUCCCGAGCUGGUUCACGACCCUGAGAUUCUGACCGAGGAGGAGAAGUUCUAUCUGAAACGGACUGGGGAGAAGAAAAAGAACUAUGUUCCUGUUGGGAGGAGAGGGGUGUUUGGUGGUGUGGUUCUCAACAUGCACCUCCACUGGAAGAAGCAUGAGACUAUGCAAGUAGUCUGCAAGCCCUGUCGACCUGGGCAAGUGUAUGAGUACGCAGAGGAGCUGGCGAGGCUCAGCAAAGGGACAGUUAUUGAUAUUAAACCUAAUAAUACCAUUAUCUUUUAUCGUGGAAAGAAUUAUGUGCAGCCAAAGGUUAUGUCACCUCCUGAUACUCUUUCUAAGCAGAAGGCCUUGGAGAAAUAUAGGUAUGAACAGUCUCUGGAACAUACCAGUAAAUUUGUUGAGCAGCUGGAACAGGAGCUUGAAGAUUACCAGAAGCAUGUUGCUUUAUUUAAGAAGCGCGAAGGGGCUAUUUCUGAGCAAAUCAGCAAUGAAGACUCUGCUGUGGAUGACCUCACAACUAACUCAGAUACCGAUUGAAUUGCCUGCUUCCUCAAUUCACAUCUCAUAUUCUUUCCGCGAUGAAGGGUUCUCACGCUUCCUCAUAAAAUGGAAAAAGGGACAGUUAGUAGUUCAAGAGCUAUUAUACUGCUAGAGUACCAUGAACCCAGAGGAGCUAUACCUAUGAGGAUCAAGUACCAUAAACAUAUUUAUGGGAUGGUCACAUUAAGAGUUAGUAAAGUUUACGUUUGAAGAUUUAAGGUAGUAGUGGAUGUUGAUGGUGGAGGAGAUGAGUUGAACUUUUUGAGAGAGAUGGGCUUGCCUGUUGCUUUGAAAAAUCAACUUCGGUUAUCGCUGCAAAGGAAGCCUCUCAAAUGGAAACUGAACAUAUGAAUGAGACAAAAGGAAGAAGAUGGAAUACACGGAGUCACAAGCAAACGAGCUAAGAGUUAUGGUUACAAGAAGAUAGAGUUUAGUUUGGACGUUGUUAAGGAAGUAGAGUUGAGCAAGAGAACAACUUUCAAAUAUGUUCGUAACAAGCUACAUAUGGCAAAUAAUACCUUGUGGCAAAGAUUAAAGGAAGGAAGGCUCAUGUGUCACACCAAUGCCAUCAAGUCCAUGUUGACCGAGAGAACAAGUUAGGCAAGAUACAAAUUUGUUUAUUGAUGUUGCAUAGCAUUACAGGAGAGCUUGUAUUCGAAGGAAUGUGAAGUGUCAUACACAUUGAUAAAAAUUGGUUGUACCGCACUCAUCAUACUUAGAUUAUAACUGGGCACUAGAUGUGGAUGAUCCCUAUCGCGGCAAGCAGAGCUAAGGUUUUAUUGAGAAAUUUAAGGUCUUGGCAGUAGUAGCAGGGUCAAUACGACAUUGAUUGUACCAUGACGUUUGUUGGAAGAUAAGCAUUUGGCCUUUCUCGUA